GAUGAACGCUGGCGGCGUGCCUAAUACAUGCAAGUCGAGCGAACAGACGAGGAGCUUGCUCCUCUGACGUUAGCGGCGGACGGGUGAGUAACACGUGGAUAACCUACCUAUAAGACUGGGAUAACUUCGGGAAACCGGAGCUAAUACCGGAUAAUAUAUUGAACCGCAUGGUUCAAUAGUGAAAGACGGUUUUGCUGUCACUUAUAGAUGGAUCCGCGCCGCAUUAGCUAGUUGGUAAGGUAACGGCUUACCAAGGCGACGAUGCGUAGCCGACCUGAGAGGGUGAUCGGCCACACUGGAACUGAGACACGGUCCAGACUCCUACGGGAGGCAGCAGUAGGGAAUCUCCCGCAAUGGGCGAAAGCCUGACGGAGCAACGCCGCGUGAGUGAUGAAGGUCUUCGGAUCGUAAAACUCUGUUAUUAGGGAAGGACAAAUGUGUAAGUAACUAUGCACGUCUUGACGGUACCUAAUCAGAAAGCCACGGCUAACUACGUG
rnacentral:rRNA from 1 species